GUUUAAUUCGAAGCAACGCGAAGAACCUUACCAAAUCUUGACAUCCUUUGACAACUCUAGAGAUAGAGCCUUCCCCUUCGGGGGACAAAGUGACAGGUGGGGCAUGGUUGUCGUCAGCUCGUGUCGUGAGAUGUUGGGUUAAGUCCCGCAACGAGCGCAACCCUUAAGCUUAGUUGCCAUCAUUAAGUUGGGCACUCUAAGUUGA
rnacentral:rRNA from 1 species